rnacentral:rRNA from 1 species
UACGGAGGGUGCGAGCGUUAAUCGGAAUUACUGGGCGUAAAGCGUGCGUAGGCGGUUCGUUAAGUCAGCCGUGAAAGCCCCGGGCUUAACCUGGGAAUUGCGGAUGAUACUGGCGAGCUAGAGUGUGGUAGAGGGUAGCGGAAUUUCCGGUGUAGCAGUGAAAUGCGUAGAGAUCGGAAGGAACACCUGUGGCGAAGGCGGCUACCUGGACCAACACUGACGCUGAGGUACGAAAGCGUGGGGAGCAAAC